UGUUGUUAAAAUAUCUGAUGACUUAAGCUGUCUUACAUUUAGGCUGAUAUCUCUCCUUACAUCUUUUCUGCCAUUAACAUUAGGGAUUAGAUAGAUCAAACAAGGCAAGGAGAACUCAAGAAAGUCUGGUCACUUCAGUGAGUGUUGGUGUGUGAGGAGAAUCAAGUGAGAAGUGCUUUUAGAAACAUCCAUGCAGGUAUGAAGGAGCUCUAACAUGCCAGGUGAGUGGACAAGGCUUGGGGAAGGUUGACGAUACCUAGAGACAUGUCAGCCUUUGGGUCAGAGCCUGCCUAAUCUCAUGGGGAACUGAUGGGUGGAAUAGGCACUCUAGGCUCCCCCUGGCAUGGGCAGGGUUGCAGAGAAUUCAGAAAUUUGUGUGUGUUCACGGAGGGGAGGCCAAGCUUCUGACUGUUGAAGUUAGGGUCAGAAUGGAGAGGCAAGCAUGUGUGUGAGGGACUCUGAGAUGGGAGGCUGACAAUUAGGACAAUGGGCUUUGCCCAUGGAGCCAGAAUGUUACCCUGCGAGGGUGAAUGGCACUGGGCCACAUAUCUCAGUGGUCAGAUCCAGGAUCUCAGCAGUCACUCCUAUCAAUCAGAGAUCGGACCAUGGCAGGCACACUCAGCAAAGUCCCCCAUGAUCCAGAAGACAUGUGCGAAUUCUGCAUCAUCUUCCCCUCCAUAAUCCUGAGGACAGUGAGAGCCAAGGAUUGCUUAGCCACACAGGUGUAGCAGUGGGGGAAGCAGAAAGCUAGAUGAAUCCAUGGAUGGAAUUUUUCAGGAGAGUAACAUAGGGCAUGAAGGCCCAUCAAUGAGAGAGACAACAUUUAGAUAGGAGUACUGGACAUUUGAAAAUUCUUACACCCUGUGAUGUGACAUGGAGAAGUGACCAACACAACUUUGCCAACUAUACUCCAUUCUUAGUAACUGCCGAUUAGGAAGGAUUUCUUUCUAAGUCUGUCACUAAUUCAACUGUUAUUCACAAGAGAAGUAGAGGCAAAUGAUAGCAGCUUGAUCGUUGAUUUUUGAUUUAGAUGAUCAAUGAUGUUCAGAAUAGUGUUUGUAUGUGUGAGCAUGGAUGUGUAUGUCGUGUGUGUGUCUGUGUAUGUGGUGUGUGUGUCUGUGUAUAUUGUGUGUGUGUGUGUGCAUGCGUGUGUGCAGGGUAGGUAUCACCACAUUCCCUGUGGUGGUGUGUCUCUUCUCUGGGAUUGGUUCUUCUAGAAUCUCCCACCUUUUAGAACCACUUUAAGAUAUUUAUUUAUUCUCUCCAACCAUCCUGGC
rnacentral:lncRNA from 10 species